rnacentral:lncRNA from 1 species
UCAGCCAGACUGUCCAGUACACUGAUACUGUCGACCUCAACCAGACUCUCCAGAACACCGAUACAGUCGACCUCACAAAACACUGAGAACAAUGAUGUUUUCCAUUCGGAGAAUUCCCAGGAAGCAGUAUUAGUCAGAUCUUCACCAGAGAGGGACUAUCAAGAAACUCCACCAAGUCCUACAUAUACUACCCAAAGCUAUGAGCAGUAUUACAGACUCAGAAAUGUACCUGGCUCUUCUACAAUGCCCUUCUACAGUGACAUAGAAAUUCCCAAUAUGGACACCAUCACUUCUGCCCCUUCAACAUCAAGGGAAGCAAGUACACUCCCUCCAGGGGAACUCAUCCCCAUACGGAAUCCUGAAAUGAGGCGAAGGGCCUUAUUGGAGGCUCUUCUCACACCUGUGAUUGAUCCUAACACUUUUGGUUCAUCCUCCGAGUGUACCCGUACUGUUGUGAGACACCUUGGUUACCCUGUAAACUGGUCUGUGAAUGAUGUAAUAACAUUUCUGAACCGUUUAGAUCCUCCUUUGGCUGACCAACUCUACCCUACCAUCAAAAAACAUG